rnacentral:misc_RNA from 1 species
CACACUCCAAGCGUAGCUUGAUGUUGGACGAUGCGGGUCUCCUAGAGGACCGCACGUCUGGAACGCGUGGGCGCCCAUCGCCGGAUCACAAGCGUAGCAAGACGUUUCGUCAAUUUCGUUCUGUGAGCUCCGACGGGGGGCGGCAUCAUACUUUUUCUGUAUCAGAA